AUUGAACGCUGGCGGCAUGCUUUACACAUGCAAGUCGAACGGUAACAGGCCGCAAGGUGCUGACGAGUGGCGAACGGGUGAGUAAUGCAUCGGAACGUGCCUAGUCGUGGGGGAUAACGCAGCGAGAGCUGCGCUAAUACCGCAUACGAUCUAUGGAUGAAAGCGGGGGACCGUAAGGCCUCGCGCGAUUGGAGCGGCCGAUGUCAGAUUAGGUAGUUGGUGGGGUAAAGGCUCACCAAGCCAACGAUCUGUAGCUGGUCUGAGAGGACGACCAGCCACACUGGGACUGAGACACGGCCCAGACUCCUACGGGAGGCAGCAGUGGGGAAUUUUGGACAAUGGACGCAAGCCUGAUCCAGCAAUGCCGCGUGCAGGAAGAAGGCCUUCGGGUUGUAAAGGACUUUUGUCAGGGAGGAAAUCCUAGUGGCUAAUAACUGCUGGGGAUGACAGUACCUGAAGAAUAAGCACCGGCUAACUACGUGCCAGCCGCCGCCGUAAGAC
rnacentral:rRNA from 1 species